rnacentral:lncRNA from 1 species
GCUGGAGCAGCCAACUCGGACUAGGAAGUAAACUUCAGGAUGGAUGGCGUGCGCUAUCAUGGAACAAUAAAAAGGAUGAAGCCUGGGUCCCUGACACUGUAGAAUACCACACCAGCUUUGUCUAAGAUUUGCUAAAGGGAGAAAUUAACAUCUACCUGAUUAAGCCACUGCUAUUUGGGGUUUUCUAUAGCCAAACCUAAUCCUAACGCUUACAGAUACUAUCAUCUGAUUUGCAUAGAUAAAAUUCUGAAUUCCCCCUCCCCCAAUUCUUCCCCCAUUCUUCUCCAGUCAACUAUUGUACUGCCUGACAGAAUUCCACCGUCUCCCACGCCUGGCUAUAGACGCAGUCCUGAGGCACCCUAAUGACUCGCGUGAAUUUACCGAAUGGACGCUCCAAAUUAGUAGCAAAUGUCACAUCUCUUAAAACUGAGGCCAUGCUCCCAACAUAACCUCCAGGUAGAUUCAGCUGCCUCCAGAAUCAUUAAAUCCGAGAAGUCAACAGCAAUUUCUAUUUUGUGAGUUUGCAGUUCUCAAACAUAUGUCAACACCAAAAUCUUGGUGCCAUAUUGCGGAGAUGGUCCCCAUCCACACCGUGUCGGUUAGGGAUGCAAAUAACAAAAGCCUCACUAAGCCACCGGAAAGAAGUGGGGCUGGGCAAGGUCACAUAUUUUCUUUCUCAAAACAAGAAACUCGAGGUGAGAUGCUGCUGGCAUUGACUCCGCUGCUCAACGAUGCUUCGAGGAUCAAAGACCUAUUUUUUAAUCCCUGCAUUCUCAUGCUGGGCUUGACAUCAAAGAUGGUUGCUGCCUCUCCAGACAUUGUGUGUGUGUGUGUGUUUAAUACGUUAUUCUGUUGCAAGAAAGAAGUAGGAGAUGGUUAUUGGGACAGAGUGUACCUAACAACGUCACUGCCAGAUUCGUUGUCAACCCAGAAAUAGAAGUGCUGCCUUCUUCCCAGGGCCCCGACCAAUCAGGGAGGUGUCCUCUCUAUUUACUCUCCUCUGAAACUCACCUGCCUCUGCCCAGCCUCUGCUCCUUCCUCAGCUCAGACCCCUGACAUCUCUGGGAUUACUGGAACGAUAGGUCUCAUUGCCUCCAGUCUGGACGCCCCCUCCCCGCCUCCACAAGGCUGCGCUGAGUGGUCUGGCCAGCAUGCAAAUGUUGACUUGUCCCCAUUGCCACCACCCACCACACAAAAUCUCCAAGCGCUUCCAAGCACUCUCAGAGUGAAUCCCAGACUCCCCCCACCCCCUGGCUCACAGGCUCUGUGUGACCUGACAAGCCCCUGCGUCCUGCAUACCACGUGCUCUGCUCUCCCACCCAGUUCCCCUGAGAUCCCAGGAGGCCUGACCCCAGAAGCUGCCUCCUAGUGAUCUCACUACACCCACCUGUUAGCCCGUCACGGGACUGCCCAAAUGUGGUGCAACGCCCAGCAAUCUUCGGUCCCCUGCCCAAUCAUGGUUCCCAGAGGGUGGGCACUGUGUCAUCGACCUUCACGUCCCCAGCCCUUAGCACAGCAUCUGGGACAUAGUAAGUGCUAAAUAAAUUUUUGUUGAAUGAAUGAAUGUUCGCA